rnacentral:rRNA from 1 species
UUAGCAGAGAUGCUUUGGUGCCUUCGGGAACUCUGAGACAGGUGCUGCAUGGCUGUCGUCAGCUCGUGUUGUGAAAUGUUGGGUUAAGUCCCGCAACGAGCGCAACCCUUAUCCUUUGUUGCCAGCGAUUCGGUCGGGAACUCAAAGGAGACUGCCAGUGAUAAACUGGAGGAAGGUGGGGAUGACGUCAAGUCAUCAUGGCCCUUACGAGUAGGGCUACACACGUGCUACAAUGGCAUAUACAAAGAGAAGCGACCUCGCGAGAGCAAGCGGACCUCAUAAAGUAUGUCGUAGUCCGGAUUGGAGUCUGCAACUCGACUCCAUGAAGUCGGAAUCGCUAGUAAUCGUAGAUCAGAAUGCUACGGUGAAUACGUUCCCGGGCCUUGUACACACCGCCCGUCACACCAUGGGAGUGGGUUGCAAAAGAAGUAGGUAGCUUAACCUUCGGGAGGGCGCUUACCACUUUGUGAUUCAUGACUGGGGUGAAGUCGUAACAAGGUAACCGUAGGGGAACCUGCGGUUGGAUCACCUCCUUACCUUAAAGAA